GGCAACGUGGCGGAGUGGUUAACGCGCUGCCCUGCUAUACACCAGCACAUGGGUUAGUAAGGCAGUUCCUUCGGGAGCGUAGGUUCGAAUCCUGCCGUUGUCG